AUUGAACGCUGGCGGCAUGCCUUACACAUGCAAGUCGAACGGCAGCACGGGUGCUUGCACCUGGUGGCGAGUGGCGAACGGGUGAGUAAUACAUCGGAACAUGUCCUGUAGUGGGGGAUAGCCCGGCGAAAGCCGGAUUAAUACCGCAUACGAUCCACGGAUGAAAGCGGGGGACCUUCGGGCCUCGCGCUAUAGGGUUGGCCGAUGGCUGAUUAGCUAGUUGGUGGGGUAAAGGCCUACCAAGGCGACGAUCAGUAGCUGGUCUGAGAGGACGACCAGCCACACUGGGGCUGAGACACGGCCCAGACUCCUACGGGAGGCAGCAGUGGGGAAUUUUGGACAAUGGGCGAAAGCCUGAUCCAGCAAUGCCGCGUGUGUGAAGAAGGACUUCGGGUUGUAAAGCACUUUUGUCCGGAAAGAAAUCCUUGACUCUAAUACAGUCGGGGGAUGACGGUACCGGAAGAAUAAGCACCGGCUAACUACGUG
rnacentral:rRNA from 1 species